rnacentral:rRNA from 1 species
AGCGAACGCUGGCGGCAGGCCUAACACAUGCAAGUCGAACGGACCCUUCGGGGUUAGUGGCGGACGGGUGAGUAACACGUGGGAACGUGCCUUUAGGUUCGGAAUAGCUCCUGGAAACGGGUGGUAAUGCCGAACGUGCCCUUCGGGGGAAAGAUUUAUCGCCUUUAGAGCGGCCCGCGUCUGAUUAGCUUGUUGGUGGGGUAAUGGCCCACCAAGGCUACGAUCAGUAGCUGGUCUGAGAGGAUGACCAGCCACAUUGGGACUGAGACACGGCCCAAACUCCUACGGGAGGCAGCAGUGGGGAAUCUUGCGCAAUGGGCGAAAGCCUGACGCAGCCAUGCCGCGUGUAUGAUGAAGGUCUUAGGAUUGUAAAAUACUUUCACCGGUGAAGAUAAUGACUGUAGCCGGAGAAGAAGCCCCGGCUAACUUCGUGCCAGCAGCCGCGGUAAUACGAAGGGGGCUAGCGUUGCUCGGAAUUACUGGGCGUAAAGGGAGCGUAGGCGGACAUUUAAGUCAGGGGU